GCCUCGGAUACAGGGCUCGGGGCCGUACUAGCUCGGGGUAAAGGUGAAGCAGAGAAGCCGAUUCUCUUCAUUAGUAGGAAACUCAGCGAUCAGGAACAGAGGUAUGCGACCGUAGAGAAAGAGGCCUUAGCCAUCAAGUGGGCCCUCGAUUAUCUCCGGUACUACCUACUGGGUCGGAGGUUUGCAUUAGUUACUGACCAUGCGCCCCUCACGUGGAUGGCUGGUAAGAGAAACAAUAACAACAGAAUAGCCAGAUGGUUUUUGUCUUUACAACCAUUCUCUUUCCAUGUCAUCCACAGGGCCGGAUCGAGGAACGGGAAUGCAGACGCGCUGUCCCGACGCGACCAAGACGGUGCGUCUGGCGCCCGACCCUCCGGUUCGGUCCUGGGGGGGAAGAGAGAAUGGAACCAGAAGAGAGAGGGGAAACUAUCUCUGGAAGAUGGCCACCGAGAGAGAGAAGCUGUGCUGAAAGAACCACUAAGACGGUGACAAAACCGUGAUUUAUGUUUGUUGUAGUUUAAAGAUUAUCCUAUUGUGUUCUUGUUUCAUCUGGAGAAGAAGAUGUGUGUUUUUCCUUGGAAGAUUUUUCAUUGAUUAUGUUUGAAUGUUUUUGUUGACAAAAUACUCUCAAUAGAGAACCGUGUUCAAUCAGAAAAA